UUCAACGUUUGACUAUUUGUCUUAUUUUAAAUUUUUUGCGAUUAAUAUUUUUAUUGUUCCUAGAUGAUAAAAUAUAAAUAGUACUUUAUACUUAACUAAUUUUUUUAAGUUUUUUAUAAAAUUUUUAAAUAAAACGAGUGGUCAAACGUUGGAGAUAGAAAAACA
rnacentral:pre_miRNA from 1 species